ensembl:lncRNA
UACAGACAUGCAUCUGGACAGAAUAGAAACAUAAUGUUGCAGAAUUACUGCAGAAGUGUCUCACUACUGAGCAAAUCCUUUAAAUGUUUUCCCUGCUCAGUCUGAGCACAAAAAUGAACGGUCUGUUGCUGUAAAGCAGGUCUCAUUGUCAGGCUGCAUAAACAACACUCACCACUUAUUUCCUAGGAAAUGAAAUGCAUGAGGUAUAAUGCACAGUGCUUUGGCUUCCUUUCAUUCGAGUGCUUGUAUGCAGAAAUGAUGGAAAAGGGCAAUGACAAAAUGUCAUCUUUAUCGCUGAAUUAAGUUCUCCAGGACACAGACUGCCCCUUAUUUUUACCACGGCAAGAUUCACUGUGAAGAAACACUGGCUUCUGUUUUAACAGAAAUAAAUCAGGGUAACCAUAUGCUGAAUGCCAGCAGUACUGCAACAAGCAUUUUGUAUCUGUACAUCUGGUGAGUGCUAAAGCUAUUUUUUCCUUGGCCUCUAAAUAGAGCAGCACAUGCGUGCAAACUCCUACAAGGCAGCUAGGAAUUAGCAGCGCUUGCUGUCCUGGGCUGUGAAAAGUGUUACAGCUGAAAAAGGCAAUUGUUCCUCUGUAGUGCUGCGGCAAGAAGGCUUGGCAGAUUGCUGGAGAUUGCAUAGGAAGACGCUAAUUGCUCCAUUUCAUCCUCUUUUGUUGGGUGUUUUCCCUCUCACAGAGCCUUCUUUUUCCUUCCUCAUCUCCUCCAGACAGAGGCCAGGCACUGCAUGCAUCCUGCCAGGGCCGUGGGGAGGAAGUGGCACGUGGCAGGCGGGCUCAGCUAACACUACUGUGGACCAUGAUAAAAUGUGGGCAUCUCCUUGGUCAGAGAGCACAAGGUACUUUGCCAUCUGAUGAAAGGACAAGAUGAUACACUUCCAGAUAAUCUUGGUAGAAUUUUCCUCUGAACAUUUUGAUGCCUCUACAGGAAUUGCUUUUCCCUGCUGUUUCUAUGUUUCAACUUAAUUUUUGAGGUUCUCAGCCA